rnacentral:lncRNA from 1 species
UGUUUUUUUUAAAUAUUUAUUUUUAUUUAUUCAUGAUAGACACAGAGGGAGAGAGGCAGAGACACAGGCAGAGGGAGAAGCAGGCUCCAUGUCGGGAACCCGAUGUGGGAUUAGAUCCCGGGACUCCGGGAUCGCGCCCUGGGCCAAAGGCAGGCGCGAAACCGCUGAGCCACCCAGGGAUCCCCUAAAUGUUUUAUUUAUUUAAGUAACCUCUAGACCCCACAUGGGGCUUGAACUCACAACCCCCGAGAUCGAGAGCCACAUGCUCCAUCAACUGAGCCAGCCAGGUGCCCCUCAAAGAUGUUCUUUAAACUAUUGUUACAGUUCUUAGAACCUUAAUAUAAACCUAACAAUAGGGUAAAUGGAACUAUAAAACAUUUUCUUGAUACGUAAAUGAUGUCAUAACACUGGAAUAGGAUAUGUACUCUAACGAUUACAAAUAUGUAGGUUAAAUAUGUUCAGUCAUAAUAAUAUAUAACAUUUAUUGUCUACUGAAUAUAUGGCAGGCAAUGUGUCAGAUCCUUUGUAGGCAUUGCCUCCUUUGGUGUGCUUGCUAGAAUAAGCUAGAUUUAAUUUUUUUUCUCUAUUUUACAGAUGAGGAAAGGGGAAGAUUAAUUGGAUUAUCUGAGGUCAAACUGUUAGUGUGAGAUUUGAACCCCAUCCUGGUUGACUGUAGAACUCACACUCUUAACUUAUCAUUCCUCAUGAUAUGUGGAUAAUUUUAAGUAAAAAACAAAUAUUAGCCACCAACACCCACCCUGCAACAAAGUUACCCCAAAACUCCAAACCAGAAACAACCCAGCACCAACAAACACAAAUCUGACAAGCUCUAUUCUUCUUGUAAUCACAUGGAAAAAUAAAUAACAAAGCUUAGACCAAGAGAAAUAGCCCAAGUUGAAAAAGCUUAUCUGCAACCCGCCAAUAAAAUGACAGAGUGUUCUUUGUCCCACGAUUGGCGAAUGUUCUUUCGUUAGGGGUUCAGACACCAAUGCCAUUUCUUCAGAGCAUUGUCUACACCUGCAUAGGGUUUGUAAAGAUGAAAAAAAUGCAUGACACACAUCACCAAGAAUCAGGGGUUGUGCCUGGCAAUGCAAUUGAGAAAAGCUUUGGAAUGAACUCCCCCUGGGCAGUGGUCUCUGCCUUCUGUUACAGAAGACGGCAAAAAUAGGAGCCGGUGUACCUCUGGCCAAUUAUUCAAUGCUCCAUCACAAGGGGAAAUUCCUUCCUCACCCCAGCUGGUGAACAGUUAUGCCCUGGAGCCCAGGACGGACAUGCCUUGUAACUUUUUAACCUGGUUAGUGUAACUGCCAAUAUUAUUCCUAUUCAUAUAAAUGUCUAAUCCUUUCUUGAAUCUUGCUAGACUAUUUGCCUCAAUAAUAUCCUGCGGCAGUGAAUUCCACAGGUAGAUUAUACGCCGUUUUAAAAAGUAUUUCCUUUUAUUCAUUUUAAAUUUGUUACCUUUUAACGUCACAAGAUGUCCCUUGUUCUUGCAUUAAGGGCUACAGGGUACAGGCAUUGGAAAUUCAGCUUUAAUUUUUCGAAGCAUUCCACCAUUAUUAAAGCUCCAUCUUCUUCAUAUUGUUUCCUAUUUUGGCAUAUCUGAUCUUGAUUCAAUGAGAUGAUUGAGGUAAAUGGUCUCAUACUACUUCAGACACAUAGUAGGCACUAGAAGAAAGGUCUCCUUGAUAUUUGAUGCCAUUUAUUGGACACAUGUUUAUUGAGCACCUACUGUGUGCGGGAAUUGUAAAUAUUGGAGAGACAGCUUUGAGUGAGACAGAGUCCUUGUUCUGAAAGCUCUAAUUUUCUAGAGAAGAUAAGCACCAAUAAAGUGAAUAAGGAUGAACUACAUGGUUUUGGGUGGACUUAAGUCCUACGGGAAAAUUUGACAAGAGUGACUGGCAGAGGAUGGGCAGGAGCCACUUCAGAUUGCAUGGUCAGGGAGGAGGUUUCUGAAAAGGGGAUGGUUGAGUUGGCCAUCAAGGUAUCAUAUAUAUGACAUCUCCAUGAAGGUGAACCCACGUUCCUAGACACUGCUUACCAUGAGGUGAGAUUCCAUCCUUAUUUGUUGAGUGAAUGAAUGAAUCAAGUUGAGGAGGGAAAUCAUAGUUUCAGAAAUCAUUCAAUAAGUUACUCAUAGACCUAGGAGUAACAUUUCUUAAAUCCCUAUGCUCUGUAACUUCAAAGACUGUUGGGGUAGAAAAAACAGGGGAUUUAGUUAGUUAGACUUGCUAUCAAGCCCUUCUCAGGUACCCAGCUACUCCCCUUAUAUGACCUUGGGGGGUGUCUUUUCCAAAGUGAUCUCAUUUAGAAAAAUGGCUUUCCUUGGGGUCCCUGGGUGGCUCAGUUGUUUAAGCAUCCGCCUUCAGCUCAGGUCAUGAUCCUGGGGUCCUGGGAUCGAACCCCGUGUGGGGCUCCCUGCUCGGUGGGGAGUCUCCUCCCUCUGCUGCUCUCCCUCCUUGUGCACAUGCUCUCUCUGUCUCUGUCAACUAAAUAAAUAAAAUUUUAACAAAAUUUCCUUUCUUCAUGGGUUUUGGAGCAUUGGAGAUAAAAUUAUAUAGCAGCUAGUACUUUACAAACCACCCAAUGGUCAGUCAUUCUGGAGGGAACCGGGUGUUCUCAGCUCUGCGCACCGUUUCUUUCCUCUGGCCUUUUCCCUCCUGGUUUUCUCUGUUCCCAAUUUUUAUCCUUGCCUCUGCCUAAAGUUCAUCAGUGGCAUCCGUGGUACUUAGCUUUCUGACCCAGAACUGGCUUACGUGAGAGUGGUGGCAGAAGGGAGUUUACCUUUGUGAAAUAUUGCCUAUUUUUUAAGGGCUUUAAAAAAUGAAAUCAGGUGGGGGUGCCUGGGUGGCUCAGUCAGUUAAGCAUCCUACUACUUGAUUUCAGCUUAGGUCUUGAUCUCAGGGUUGUGAGUUCAAGUCUCACACUGGGCUCCAUGCUAGGCAUGGCACUUACUUUUAAAAAAAAUUGAAAAGAUAAGAAUAAAAAAAUAAAAUGGAAUCAGGUGGAGCUGCUGUUUGUUGAAACGGAGGACCAGAGGUGUAUUUCCAAUAGCGAUUGUUUGCUUUCAUUUUGAAUACUGCUUGGUCUUCCAGAAUCAGGUAAACCAAAUUUCUUUAAAAAUUUUUUUUAAAGAUUUUAUUUAUUUGUUCAUGAGAGACACACAGAGAGAGGCAAGGACACAGACAGAGGGAGAAGCAGGCUCCCUGCGGGAAGCCAAAUACAGGUCUCGAUCCCAGGACCCCAGGAUCAUGUCCUGAGCUGAAGGCAGACGUUCAACCGCUGAGCCACCCAGACCCCCCAGUUAACCAAGCUUCAAUGCACAAAGACAGAGGCUGUGCCUGAAUUUCUGAAGGGAUCCUUCCCCCAGAAAGUGGAGGCUUUGGUUGAAAUGAUCUGAUUACCUGCUUGGAGCUUCCCUCUGUGUUCUAGCAUGAUAGGUAUAUAGCAUUUCCUCAUGCUUCCUCUUGUUAUUUUUUCUAAUUGCCCCUUAAUUUACUUUUUUUUUUUUUCCAUUUAGGCAAUUUGAAGUAGAAGCAUGUGCAGCUCUGCAUAAUAAUGUAUUAGAAAGGCAUUUCAAGGAAUAAAUUAUUAGCAUUGUUUACAUGGAUGGUUCAAAUUUACUGGCAAAUUGCUCAGGCCUCAGUUUUACGAGGUAGCUGCCAGCUCGGCUCCUUCUGGGUAAAACCCUGAAAUUGGAGAAGUUUCCUUUUGGUUUCCCUCACCCACACGUCCUCUGCCUCCUUCCUCCCCUUUCAACGCCUCCCUGGGUUCCCACCCCCACAGAACUCCGUGGAAGGCUCGGGCCUUUUGCACCUUCACGUGCAGACAUUUCGUGGGCUCUACCCCCGCGCCAGGCCGACCCCCGGCGGAAGUGAGGUGUGCGGAGGAAUAAAUGUUCAAUGGUAUAAUUUUAGUUGCUGUGGCAACUGGGAAGGGCGGCUAUUUUGGGCUGUGGGCCUUUCUCCUUGACCUGAGAUGAUGUUACUCUGCCGGCCGCUGGCGCGCUGGGCCAACCCUGCCCGCGGUCCUCGCAGCCACGUGCCUGACAUUCCUGGGGGAUGCUUCUUCCUUUCUCCCCGAGCCCUUCUGUGCUCCUCCAGGGCUGUGUGCAUUAGUGCAAGAGCACGCAUCUGUCCACGUGUGCCCACCUG